rnacentral:lncRNA from 1 species
AUAAUAUGCAAAUUAUGCUCUUUCAAAUUUCAAAAUUAACCUCAAGGCAUGUUCUAUAUCAUAAGAACUCUUUUCUACAGCAGGUUCAACCUGGAUCAGAAGCCAAGACCAAUGCCGCACUUGGAAGGGACGACCAAUAGUUCUGUGUUCCUGACCUGUCUUACAGUCUUUCGCUUCUAUCCGCAGUGGACCAUUUGGCUGAUCACGUCACUCUACAGCUGUUCUGCCACAUUUGAGCACCCACAUUAAAGACAAAAGUUGGGGAGAUAAUGAAGAGGCAAGACAGCAAUAUGGGAUUGGCUGGAAAGAUGACAGACUGCAUAUGCACAUCAAAUAAAUUCCAAACGCAGCCAUCUAUUCCCAAGGUAUCUUAACUCCACCAGAUAUCUCACUGCUGUCUGUCAAUGAUUACGCUGUCUAGUUUUAAUAUUGAAAGCAAGUUUUCACCUUCAGCAAAGCCAUGCAAUGUGACCAGCAUGUGAUCUAAGAAUUCAAGCCUGUACCAGCUGUUCUCUAAACACUGAGUCCCACCAACCAUGGCAGGAAGAGUGGGCCUUGGGUUGAUAUGGCUGCCAGCUCACCAAUCCCUCCAAAUGUUCCUCAUGUGACCUCUUUUUAGGAAUCUCUAUUCCAGGCCCUUCAUUCUGACCAUCACCACCUGCAUCUUGUAUCCUGGAUUCUUUUAAGAAUUUUAAAUAGUGCACUAGAGGUUGUAGAAGAGAUACUUAAGAUAUGGGUGUCUUUACUCUAUUCUUAAGAGGCCGUUCAUGAUACAUGGAGGUCAAUGACAUCAGAAUCUUAUAAACCUGACAUAAAGAUUGUAGGGAGCCCUUAGCAGGAGAGAAGAUCAUUGAGUGCCCAUGGCUGCAGCAGAAGGUAGAAGAGGAACUGGAUAGCAGCCUGGAGCCAGAGAGAAUCAUCACCCACAGCCAGGGAGGCGUGGACUUGUUUUGCAUUGGUUGUUUAGUUUUGCUUUUAUUCUCCUGCUUCCCUGAAUGGAUCUCUGUCAGUGCUUUAACAUCAACAGAGUAAGAAUAAAACAUGGGUCAGCCCUGUCUCGCCCAAGGUGGGUGGGUGAUGUUAAUUUGGAACUAGACCACAGCAUGGGUGGAGUCCUCAGCAAAUGGUACAGCAGACUUGGCCAGCCUGACAGAGCCCCUGAGCCCCACCUCCACCAAGUGGGACAUGUAAUGACAGAGAGGUUGAUAACCAUGGGGACAGAGCAGCGCCUGGAAAGGAAAUCCUAGAAAGUUCUAUGGUGGGGAGAAGGCAGUAAGGAGAGUCCAGACCCUAGAAUGUAACACAGGGAACUCUGUUCCCUGGAACAGCCCCAAAUUUUCCUGAAGGAAAAUAAACUAAAGGCAUGCUUUUACUCCAUCAUCCAGCACACAUUGUAAACAAAGCAGCUAGUAGUCCCAUGAGAAUAAAAGA